rnacentral:lncRNA from 1 species
CCAUUUCAUUGGGCUUGUUUCGACAAGCAGAUACCUUGGUGUAUAAUUUUACAGCUAAUAGAUUUUACUCUGUGAAAUCUGGAUAUAGAUUAGCUUGUAAAGUGAAAAGGGAUAAUCAUGAGAGAAACCUUUUAGGAAUUAGUCGCUCACUCAGCAGGAGAUUAUAACAGCAGCAUUAGCAAAUCACUUAUAAUUCCUAUCAGUGCUAG